rnacentral:rRNA from 1 species
GCUCGUAGGUGGUUUGUCGCGUCGUCUGUGAAAUUCCGGGGCCUAACUCCGGGCGUGCAGGCGAUACGGGCAUAACUUGAGUACUGUAGGGGUAACUGGAAUUCCUGGUGUAGCGGUGAAAUGCGCAGAUAUCAGGGGGAACACCGAUGGCGAAGGCAGGUUACUGGGCAGUUACUGACGCUGAGGAGCGAAAGCAUGGGUAGCGAACAGGAUUAGAUACCCUGGUAGUCCAUGCCGUAAACGGUGGGCGCUAGGUGUGAGGGUCUUUUCACGACUUUCGUGCCGUAGCUAACGCAUUAAGCGCCCCGCCUGGGGAGUACGGCCGCAAGGCUAAAACUCAAAGGAAUUGACGGGGGCCCGCACAAGCGGCGGAGCAUGUGGAUUAAUUCGAUGCAACGCGAAGAACCUUACCUGGGCUUGACAUACACCGGACCGCUGCAGAGAUGUAGUUUCCCUUUGUGGCUGGUGUACAGGUGGUGCAUGGUUGUCGUCAGCUCGUGUCGUGAGAUGUUGGGUUAAGUCCCGCAACGAGCGCAACCCUUGUCUUAUGUUGCCAGCAUUUGGUUGGGGACUCAUGAGAGACUGCCGGGGUCAACUCGGAGGAAGGUGGGGAUGACGUCAAAUCAUCAUGCCCCUUAUGUCCAGGGCUUCACACAUGCUACAAUGGUCGGUACAACGCGCAGCGACGCUGUGAGGUGGAGCGAAUCGCUGAAAGCCGGCCUUAGUUCGGAUUGGGGUCUGCAACUCGACCCCAUGAAGUCGGAGUCGCUAGUAAUCGCAGAUCAGCAAUGCUGCGGUGAAUACGUUCCCGGGCCUUGCACACACCGCCCGU